UACAGAGGGUGCAAGCGUUAAUCGGAGUUACUGGGCGUAAAGGGCGCGUAGGCGGUUGUUUGUGUGAGAUGUGAAAUCCCUGGGCUUAACCUAGGAACUGCAUCUUAAACUGGAUGACUGGAGUACUGUAGAGGGUAGUGGAAUUUCCGGUGUAGCGGUGAAAUGCGUAGAGAUCGGAAGGAACACCAGUGGCGAAGGCGGCUACCUGGACAGAUACUGACGCUGAGGCGCGAGAGCGUGGGGAGCAAACAGG
rnacentral:rRNA from 1 species